AACGCGAAGAACCUUACCAGCCCUUGACAUCUUGGGAAUCCUGCGGAGACGAGGGAGUGCCUUCGGGAACCGAGAGACAGGUGUUGCAUGGCGGUGGUCAGCUCGUGUCGUGAGAUGUUGGGUUAAGUCCCGUAACGAGCGCAACCCUUGUCCUUAGUUGCCAGCGAGUAAGGUGGGGAACUCUAAGGAGACUCCCGGUUAUAAACGGGAGGAAGGUGGGGAUGACGUCAAGUCUUCAUGCCCUUUAUGCCAUGGGCUCCCCACGUCUUCCAAUGGUGGGUCCAAGGGGCUGCAACCCCGGAAGGGGAAGCCAAUCCCAAAAACCCGUUUCAAUUCGGAAUGGCGUUUGCAAAUUGGCCCCCAGAAGUGGAAAUCGCUAGUAAUCGAGAUCAGCA
rnacentral:rRNA from 1 species